rnacentral:rRNA from 1 species
CCUAGUUGAUCCUGCCAGUAUUCAUAUGCUUGUCUCAAAGAUUAAGACAUGCAUGUGUAAGUAUGAACAAAUUCCGACUCUGAAACAGCGAAUGGCUCAUUAAAUCAGUUAUAGUUUGUUUGAUGGUAUCUACUACUCGGAUAACCUUAGUAAUUCUGGAGCUAAUACUUGCAACAAACCCCGACUUUUGGAAGAGAUGCAUUUAAUAGAUAAAAGGUCGACGCGGGCUCUGCCCGUUGCUGCGAUGAUUCAUGAUAACUCGACGGAUCGCACGGCCAUUGUGCCGGCGACGCAUCAUUCAAAUUUUUGCCCUAUCAACUUUCGAUGGUAGGAUAGUGGCCUACCAUGGUGGUGAUGGGUGAUGGAGAAUUAGGGUUCAAUUCAGAAGAGGGAGCCUAAGAAACGGCUACCACAUCCAAGGAAGGCAGCAGGCGCGCAAAUUACCCAAUCCUGACAUGGGGAGGUUGUGACAAUAAAUAACAAUACCGGGCUAAAUGAGUCUGGUAAUUGGAAUGAGUACAAUCUAAAUACCUUAACGAGGAUCCAUUGGAGAGAAAGUCUGGUGCUAGCAGCCGCGGUAAUUCCAGCUCCAAUAGCGUAUAUUUAAGUUGUUGCAGUUAAAAAGUUCGUAGUUGGACUUUAGGAUGGGCCGGCCGGUCCGCCUAUAGUGUGCACCGAUCGUCUCUUCCCUUCUAUCGGCAAUGAGCUCCUGGUCUUAACUGGCUGGGUAGUGCCUCCGGCGCUGUUACUUUGAAGAAAUUAGAGUGCUCAAAGAAAGCCUACGAUCUGUAUACAUUAGCAUGGGAUAAAUUAUAGGAUUUCGGUCCUAUUAUGUUGGCCUUCGGGAUUGGAGUAAUGAUUUACAGGAAUAGUCGGGGGCAUUCGUAUUUCAUAGUCAGAGGUGGCACCAAGGUAGCUUGGCACCAUGGCGCCAUGGCACCAAGGCACCGUGGUGCCAAGGCUCCGUGGCGCCAUGGCACCACGGCUCCGUGGCGCCAUGGCACCAUGGCACCGUGGCGCCAUGGCACCAAGGCACCAUGGCACCAUGGCACCAUGGCACCAUGGCACCGUGGCACCGUGGCACCAUAGCACCGUGGCACACCGGCACCGUGGCACCAUGGCACCGUGGCACACAGGCAACAUGGCACCAAGGCAGCUUGACACCGUGGCGCCAUGGCACCAAGGUACCAUGGCACCAUGGCACCAUGGCACCAUGGCACCAUGGCACCAAGGCACCAAGGCACCGCGGCACCAUGGCACCGGGGCAUCGUGGCACCAUGACACCAAUGCACCAAGGCACUGCCGUGGUGCCAUGGCACUGUGGCACCAUGGCACCAAGGCACCAAGGCACCGUGGCACCAAUGCGCCGUGGCACCACAGCACCGUGGCACCAAGGCGCCGUGGCGCUGUGGCACCGUGGCACCGUGGAGCCGUGGCACCAAGGCACUAACGCACCGUGGCAAAAUCAAAA